GCGGGGAUGCCGGAGCGGCCAAACGGGGUGGACUCAAGAUCCACUGGCUUAGUGCCUACGCAGGUUCAAAUCCUGUUCCCCGCA
rnacentral:tRNA from 1 species